rnacentral:rRNA from 1 species
GACGAACGCUGGCGGCGUGCCUAAUACAUGCAAGUCGAACGCAGUGGGGACGGGUGAGUAACACGUGGGUAACCUCCCAUCAGAGGGGAUAACCCUUGGAAAAAGGUGCUAACCCCAUACUGAUGGAUGGACCCGCAGUGCAUUAGCUAGUUGGUGAGGUAACGGCCCACCAAGGCCACGAUGCAUCGCCGACCUGAGAGGGUGAUCGGCCACACUGGGACUGAGACACGGCCCAGACUCCUACGGGAGGCAGCAGUAGGGAAUAUUCGGCAAUGGACGAAAGUCUGACCGAGCAACGCCGCGUGAGUGAAGAAGGUUUUCGGAUCGUAAAGCUCUGUUGUUAGAGAAGCGGUAUCUAACCAGAAAGCCACGGCUAACUACGUGCCAGCAGCCGCGGUAAUUC